AACGAACGCUGGCGGCAGGCUUAACGCAUGCAAGUCGAGCGCCCCGCAAGGGGCGCGGCAGACGGGUGAGUAACGCGUGGGAACGUACCUUUUGGUUCGGAACAACUCCGGGAAACUGGAGCUAAUACCGGAUAAGCCCUAACGGGGAAAGAUUUAUCGCCGAAAGAUCGGCCCGCGUCUGAUUAGCUAGUUGGUGAGGUAACGGCUCACCAAGGCGACGAUCAGUAGCUGGUCUGAGAGGAUGAUCAGCCACACUGGGACUGAGACACGGCCCAGACUCCUACGGGAGGCAGCAGUGGGGAAUAUUGGACAAUGGGCGCAAGCCUGAUCCAGCCAUGCCGCGUGAGUGAUGAAGGCCUUAGGGUUGUAAAGCUCUUUUGUCCGGGAAGAUAAUGACUGUACCGGAAGAAUAAGCCCCGGCUAACUUCGUG
rnacentral:rRNA from 1 species